rnacentral:rRNA from 1 species
UACGGAGGGGGCUAGCGUUGUUCGGAAUUACUGGGCGUAAAGCGCGCGUAGGCGGACCUGCAAGUCGGGGGUGAAAGCCCGAGGCUCAACCUCGGAACUGCCUUCGAUACUGCGGGUCUCGAGUCCGGGAGAGGUGAGUGGAAUUCCUAGUGUAGAGGUGAAAUUCGUAGAUAUUAGGAAGAACACCAGUGGCGAAGGCGGCUCACUGGCCCGGUACUGACGCUGAGGCGCGAAAGGCGUGGGGAGCGAACAGG